CGUGUUUACAAUACAUUUUAAUAAAGUCAAGAAGGCGUCCGGGUGUGCGAAAGAGAGGCCACCACAACGAGCGAGCGGGACGGGGAGACGACUCCGGAUACGUGAGUGUGUGUGCCAGAACGGCGAAGGUACCUUGCGGGGCGGACUGGCGACAGGGGGCGUGGCCAUCUGGGGAGCUGCGGCAGCUGAAAACUGAUAUUCAAUUCAAUCAGUUCUGCCUGAGACCUCAGGGAAGUGACUGGAGCAAUGGCGAUGGAGCAGGGAACUGCACAGUGAGAAAAAACCAGGAUAAAGGGAAUCGGAAUGGUUCCGAGUUCCGAAUGUGGUUAGUUGCUAAUGCGGCGCCCUCCUGUGUGUGUGUCAAUGGCUGGAACUGAUUCUGAUUGAGAAUCCUUCCUCGUCCGGACCUCUCGAUUGAAUGGCGGGAACAGGCCGGAGUUGAGCCACAGGAAAUCGGCUGAAAAAAGAAGCCGUACACCAUCGCAUGGCCAGAUAUUUUAUGGGCGCGACGGCGGCCUUCACCUACACUUCACCACCUGUUAUACAUAACCGCCCCCAGCCGCCCAGCCACCCACCGGAUCCCGAACUCCGCCCCCUUUUCGCUGGCAACUUUGCGCCUCCAUUCACUUUAACAAUAAAUUUCAGCAAAUAAAUCAAAAUGUAACA